UCAGGCCUAACACAUGCAAGUCGAACGAAGUAGCAAUACUUAGUGGCAGACGGGUGAGUAACAUGUAGGUAUCUGCCCUUUGGCCUGGAAUAACGCGAGGAAACUUGUGCUAAUACCGGAUAAGUCUUUACGGAGAAAGCUUUAUGCACCAUUGGAUGAGCCUGCACUUGAUUAGUUUGUUGGUGGGGUAAUGGCCUACCAAGACUGUGAUCAAUAGCUGAUUUGAGAGGAUGAUCAGCCACAUUGGGACUGAGACACGGCCCAAACUCCUACGGGAGGCAGCAGUGGGGAAUCUUGCACAAUGGAGGAAACUCUGAUGCAGCGAUGCCGCGUGAGUGAAGAAGGCCUUUGGGUUGUAAAGCUCUUUCGUCGGGGAAGAAAAUGACUGUACCCGAAUAAGAAGGUCCGGCUAACUUCGUGCCAGCAGCCGCGGUAAUACGAAGGGACCUAGCGUAGUUCGGAAUUACUGGGCUUAAAGAGUUCGUAGGUGGUUGAAAAAGUUGGUGGUGAAAGCCCAGAGCUUAACUCUGGAACUGCCAUCAAAACUUUUCAGCUAGAGUAUGAUAGAGGAAAGCAGAAUUUCUAGUGUAGAGGUGAAAUUCGUAGAUAUUAGAAAGAAUACCAAUUGCGAAGGCAGCUUUCUGGAUCAUUACUGACACUGAGGAACGAAAGCAUGGGUAGCGAAGAGGAUUAGAUACCC
rnacentral:rRNA from 1 species